AGCAGCCAGUACCCCCUGAGACUAUGAUGACAACUUAGAAAAUCUCAUAGGCAAACAAGAAAAAUGUGGUCUGUGUCUGACUUAUGCUUUGUUUCAGAUACUGGGAAGUUUUCACUGAGCUCCUUGUCAAAUGCAGCCAAUUUGUUUUCUGGUCCUCAAUUAAAACUCAAGGAAAUAAAACCAUAUCUGGAAACCGUAGGCAUUGAAUUAACAGAUAGUGAGAGCCAAAUGAUACAGAACCAAGUUCCAGCAAACGGUAAAUACUUCAGACCUAACUAAUAGUUAGGGGGACUCCUGGGCAUGGGCUAUAUGUAUACGGUUAUAUGAGCAUAGUCACUUAACAGCUUGUUGAAAAUUAAGAGAAAAGUAAAAGCCAAUUUUUACGAACGUAUACUGUCCUCAUUGUACAAGCGCUAAAUUGGGAGAUAAUGCUUUUUGGGAGGUACUGAUAAUUAUGAGUAAACAAUUUUAAAUAUUGGACUAUCUGUAACAUGCUUAAAGUUAAAGUCAGAGAAGAUGAUGAAAAGAUUUAUGGAACAAAAAGGAGAACCCCAGAGGACAAC
rnacentral:lncRNA from 1 species